CCUACGGGUGGCAGCAGUGGGGAAUAUUCCACAAUGAGCGAAAGCCUGAUGGAGCGACACCGCGUGCACGAUGAAGGUCUUCGGAUUGUAAAGCGCUGUUUUAAGGGAAGAACAUUUGCGAAAGGAAUUGAUUGCAGACUGACGGUAUCUUGUCAGAAAGCGAUGGCAAACUAGGGGACAGCAGGUGCGGAAAUACAUGGGUCGGAUGCGUUAUCGGGAUUGAUUGGGCGAAAUGCUGUUGUAGGCAUUUUGUAAAGUAUGGAGUAAAGUCUCGGGGCUCAACCUCGGAUCGCUGUGGAUACUGGCAGACUAGAGUUAAAUAGAGGUAGGCGGAAUGCCAGGUGUAGCGGUGAAAUGCGUAGAUAUAUGGAAGAACACCGAAGGCGAAGGCAGCUUACUGGGUCUAUACUGACGCUGAGGGACGAAAGCGUGGGGAGCAAACAGGAUUAGAUACCCCAGUAGUC
rnacentral:rRNA from 1 species